AAAAGGAAAUAACUUAAGCUUAACUACCUCUUCAGUGACAUCAUUGAAAUGAAGUGUUGAACAUACUUCAUCAAAUUCUUUCAGAUGCAAAUAGGGACUUUCAGAAUCAAGUCCGUGAAACUUUGGAAGUAAUUGGAUUAUUCCUGGUUUCAUGUCAAAAGCUUCCGCAGCAGUAGGAAUAACCAUACAGGAUGGGGUACUGGUCCUAGUGGGUUGUAGAUAAUCACGAAGCGUUCUAAUAGGUAAGUCAUCUUGAAAUUCAUUAUCUCCCU
rnacentral:lncRNA from 1 species